GACGAACGCUGGCGGCGUGCCUAAUACAUGCAAGUAGAACGCACAGUUUAUACCGUAGCUUGCUACACCAUAAACUGUGAGUUUCGAACGGGUGAGUAACGCGUAGGUAACCUGCCUGGUAGCGGGGGAUAACUAUUGGAAACGAUAGCUAAUACCGCAUAAUAUUAAUUAUUGCAUGAUAAUUGAUUGAACGAUGCAAUUGCAUCACUACCAGAUGGACCUGCGUUGUAUUAGCUAGUAGGGGAGGUAACGGCUCACCUAUGCGACGAUACAUAGCCGAGCUGAGAGGGUGAUCGGCCAAAAAGGGAAUGAGACACGGCCCAGACUCCUAAGGGAAGAAGCAGUAGGGAAACUUUGGAAAUGGAGGAAAGGCUGAACGAGGAAAGCCGGGUGAGGGAAGAAGGGUUUCGGAUCGGAAAGGUCCGUUGGAAGAGAAGAAAGGGUGUGAGAGUGGAAAGUUCACGCUGUGACGGUACCUAAAGAGAAAGCGACGGCUAACUACGUG
rnacentral:rRNA from 1 species